CAAAAAGUAGUUUAAUUAGAAUCGGAGCUUUGGGAGCUUCAGGUGUAGGUCUCUAUCUUUUUGA
rnacentral:tRNA from 1 species